GACAGAGGAUGCAAGCGUUAUCCGGAAUGAUUGGGCGUAAAGCGUCUGUAGGUGGCUUUUUAAGUCCGCCGUCAAAUCCCAGGGCUCAACCCUGGACAGGCGGUGGAAACUACCAAGCUGGAGUACGGUAGGGGCAGGAGGGAAUUUCCGGUGGAGCGGUGAAAUGCGUAGAGAUCAGGAGGAACACCGGUGGCGAAGGCGGGUCUCUGGGCCGAUACUGACGCUGAGGAGCGAAAGCGUGGGGAGCGAACAGG
rnacentral:rRNA from 1 species